rnacentral:rRNA from 1 species
GGUCAAGCGAACAAGUGCAUGUGGUGGAUGCCUUGGCGAUCACAGGCGAUGAAGGACGCGGUAGCCUGCGAAAAGCUACGGGGAGCUGGCAAACGAGCUUUGAUCCGUAGAUGUCCGAAUGGGGAAACCCACUCCUUUUGGAGUAUCCAUGGCUGAAUACAUAGGCCAUGUGAAGCGAACGCGGUGAACUGAAACAUCUAAGUAACCGCAGGAAAAGAAAUCAACCGAGAUUCCCAAAGUAGUGGCGAGCGAAAUGGGAUGAGCCUUGCACUCUUUAUUUGUAUUGUUAGCCGAACGCUCUGGAAAGUGCGGCCAUAGCAGGUG